AUUUAGGAGGUUACAUCGAUCCCAAGUCCCAACAAAAUUUCAUGAAAGAGGCAGAGUCCCACCCCAGAAAGAAAGAUCAAGGGCAGCCAGUGUAGACAUGUGCUACCUUCCCUGAAGGUACGGAAGAACAUGAGCUGCAUAUUUAAAUAAAGAGAAACAAUAUAAACAAUGAAUUAUUAUUAUAUACAAAAACAAUAUAUUCUAUGUAAAAUAAUCCUAAAACUCACGUUCAACGGAGCAAUUCUUAUAUAUAUAUUUUUUUUUUUUUGGGAAAAAGGAGCUAACAAAAAGAAAGAAAAAUAAAAAGUUAAAAACUAGUCUCGAUAAUGCAUCUCUCAUCGGGCAUCAGCAUGCAACAACGGAAGCAAACCUUCCGGUGGCUCCAAAAACUCACGCCAAAUAUCAGAGCUUGCAGCUCCUAGUUUAGCAAUGAAAUCCGCGGACGAAUUCGUCUCCCUAACAGAGCAAUCCUUAUAUGGCAUGUCCUUUAUGAUUCUUUACAAUUUUAAAUAGAAAUAAUAAAUAAAUAAAUAUAAGCAGACAUUUAAACCCAAUUAAUUUUAUAACUAGGAAUAUAUUGGGCAUAAGAGUAACAGUCGGUCUUAGUUUUUUAGUGAGAGAAACUCCGCCUUCUAUUCAAUUUUUCUCUCUUUCGCUCAUCAAGGAAUGGUGGUCUUAGGUCAUUUUUGACCUAAAAUCACCCAUCUGCGUCUUUUUUCCUUUUUCUUUCAAUAUAAAUAAGUGAUUUUCACAUAUAUCAAGUUUUUUCUUCUGUGUUUUUUCGUGAUUUCGUCGUCUGAAUGCGGCGUUGUGUUGUUCGUCGUCUUGUACGAUGUUGUUUGAUUUCCCCGUUUUGUUGCAGUGUUCGUUUGGUUCCUAUUGAAAGAUCAAAUCCAGUUAAUCACAGAUUCAAUCAAUGAUUUGGACGUCAACUUUGCACAUCCAAAAGCAUGAGUAUUACAAUGAUUUAGAUUUUAUCAUAUUAUUUGUAGGCAUUUUGUCGUUGCUAUUAACUUGGAUGUUGUGAUUUUGUUCGCAGAUUCACCCUUUAUGUUUUUAGCGAUAUUGAUCAUGUUAUUGUAUCUGAUGUAUUCUAUCAAAUUAAAUGAAUGAAUAUCAUUUUGCUUUUGUAAAAAAAAAAAAAUUGAUUUUCAAAAUGAAACCAUGCAACCAAAAUCUUAUUAAUUUCAUAAUCUACAAUCAAAUUACUCAUUCAUUGCCGUUCCAAAAAUAAAAAAUAAAAAAAAUUCAUUUAGUCAUUUUCACUUUCUCUCUUAGAGGAUCCCCAAUACAGCUCACUAUUUUGAUUGUUAAAGUGGAUCUAAUAUGAACAAACACUCGAUGUGAAAACUGACACAAUUUAUAUUUCAAUAAAACUAGUGUGAAAAAUAGUGAAAUAUAAUUGAAAACUAUUUUUCACUAUUUCCCUAUUUCAUUAUAUUUCAAUAAAACUUAUUCAUUUUCAUACAAUUAUACAAUUUAUUAAGUGAAAACUGUGAAAAAGUGAAGAGAAAUAGAGAAUAAGUACUUCCAUUGUCACCAUUCCGCAACUCAAAAGUGACACAACCACUAUUGUCGUCCCACCAUCAUCCACAACUGUUGUGGUUGUUCACUACUCUCCACUUUAAAAACAUGUCCUCAAAGCAAAUAUAUAAGUUUUUUUUUUCUUUUCUUCUUUCUGAUCUCUAAAGCAGUUUAGAAAUUAAUACUAUCACAUAGAUUUCUUUUUCUUUUUGUCUUUGUUUUGAAAAACAAAUUUUCAAAUUUAUUUUAUAAAAAUAUUUUAGGUCCAAACUUAAUAUUUUAUAGGCUAAAUUAUACUAGAACUCCUUUAAGUUAUUUAAUUAUAACAAAUUUGUCUUCAAAUUAUUUUCGUACCAAUUAAAUUCUUUAAGUUAAUUAAUUGUAAAAAGUUGAUUUUUUAAGUUUUUUUCGUACCAAUUAGGUCAUUCAACUAUAACACUUUGAUGAUUUUAAAUCUUAAAAAUGUAAGUUAUUUGGAGCUAAAAGUUUCAAUUAAAUAACUUAAAAGUUAAAAUACCUGAGUGUUAAUAUUUAAAAUACAAGUUUGUUACAAUUAAAUCUAAAACUAGCUUGUUAUAACUUAAAAAGUACCUGGAAGUGCCGUGCCCAAAACUUUGAACUCCGUAAGAUGCAGCCACUUAGUUGAAGCCCAUUUAUUUCCUCUAAUUACCGGACUACCGCCUGAAAGCAAAGAAAAAUUAAAUAACUUCAUCAUUCAUAUCUUCAAAUUUCCAAUGUGGAAUGUAAUAUAGGUUUGAAUCACAUGGCUAUAAUUUGUACAUAAAGUCCAUACUUAUAAAUUUUUGAGGGAAAGGUGGAGAUAGAGAUCACAUACAACAACAACACAACCAAGCUUUAUUCCACUAUUCGGGGUCGAUUACAUGAAUCAAAUUAUGUCAUAAUUUUCUAUCAUAAAUCAUGUUUAGAUCCAAUUGCGGAGACAAAAUGAGUUGGAGGUUCAUAAUGCAAAUUCAGACGAAAGAGUAAAUAUUUAUCUAAUAAACUAACUACUAAAAUUCAACAUUGAAAAAAUAUUUAGAUCCAACUCAUUAAUCUAUAGAUUGUGUUUAAUAGAGAAUGUAUACAUAUUUUACAGUUGAACGAGUUGCGGUUUUUAAUAGAUUCUAACCGUGUAAACUAGAAGUAUCAAGUGUGCCAUCUGGCUUCAUGCUCCGAAACAGCAGAGCAUCACCCAUUUUUGGUUUCACUGAUAGACCCUUUUCAGGAUAUUUGGAUACAGAAUUUAUGUUAGGCUUAGCAUUAGGAAAUACAGUCUCACCACCUUCUUCAACGUCGGACCUUCAUAAGGACCAAAAACAAGGAACUGUCAAAUUUGUAUACAAUUCCAUCGUAAAGCACAACGCAAAACCAAUAUAUCGAAAGAGAAUAAGGCUUUACAGAUACAUAAGAACUGUAGCAACUCGCGGGCCUCCAUUCUUAGUGACGACCCCACCAGCGGUGAAUAACAUGAAGUCCCUCGCCAUUCUCUGCAUAUUUAAAAGUUAAAACAACAUUAAGCAACGGUUUAAAGAGUUCAGAUUUGGGAUGAUUAAGAAAAAGACACUCGUUUGUGACAAGCAAGUUGCAUGCAAAUCACCUUAAAUUUACUGUUUCACGAGAGGACCAUCUACCGACACAUUGAGAUAGACUGCCACUUAAUUAGAAAGAAUAAUGUGUCCAAUGUUUCUAACUAAGGUCUUAAGACUUAAGUAUAUGUGCAACAAGUUUGGCGUAUUAUGCACAAUACUUCUCUAUAUAUGCAGCAACAAAAAAAGAUCAAGAGAUGAAGAGAAACAAACUGGUAGACAUAGAUAUCACACAAAAAACUCAUACCUACUGGUAUGGAGGUAAUAUCAGCAAUUCUCUGUUCAAUAUUCUGGACAAUUUUGUCCUUUCCUCUCUCCAGAAACCUUCCUGAACUAGUUCGAGCGCUACAUGCAGGGGAUAUAUUAAAAGUAAUGCAUUACCACUAAGACACUAUUCUCUCAAGAAAAUGUACAUGAAAAAAAUAAUAUGCAAACCUGCUUUCUCUACCCUUUCCAGUCAAGCCAUCAACAACAAGCGAUCUUGUCAUGAAAGGCUUGGCAAGAUUGAUCAAAUGCUCACAUUCUUCUUUUGACUGUUCAAAAUGAUAGGAAAAGUGGACAUUUUAAUACAAUAUAAAUUCCAACAGUUUAAGAUCUCUCUCAUUUAAAACUAAGAUCUCCACUCAAACUCUGGAGUCUUUCAGAAAGUUCAAGUUUCCUGCAAUCUGAAUAUUCCAUGUAUGAAUAUGAAUACUAGAUUUUCUUUUAUCAUUAACUACCAUGAAAAACCUCUAUCUUUGUAUAGUUUAAUUUUCCAUGACCCUAGCCUAUGCUUACAGACAUUACAAGUGCAAUUGUAUGCAGAACUCUAUUCAAUACUUGAAGAACUUAAUCAUCCAUACAAACAUUUAUUAUUUAACUGAUUUAAAAAAUAAUGUAAGAUAAACAACAAUUUUGGUCAAACGAGUGAUGCGAUGUCAUUAUAGUCACUUAAUGUAUCGAAAGUGCAAACACAAAGUUUCUUUUUAGUUGGUUAGUUUGAUCCUCAAAUGUGUUUUACAUUACCCGUGCUAUAGCACGGGUAGCGCGGCUGCGCCGCGCGACGAGACGUAUGUCGUUGUGUGGCGAGGCAUGCGCUAGGGCGGCAUAUAUAUUAGUGAAUAGUCUUAUAAUAAAGUUAUUAUAUUAUAAUCAUUUUUCAUUUUUAUCAUUUGUCACUAAUUUUAAUUAAUUAUGUCACAUUUAUUUUAUUAAUAUAUACCAUACUCUCUUUGUUUUUUAAGGAAUAUACCAUACUCUCAUAAUUAAUGUCUUUAAAAAAGUAGAUUUUAUUAAUAUAUAGUUCACGUUAUAUUUUAUAAAUAUACACAAUCUUAUUUCAAUAAAUAUAUAUAUAUAUAUAUAUAUAUAUAUAUAUAUAUAUAUAUAUAUAUAUAUAUAUAUAUAUAUAUAUAUAAGUGGAAAAAAAUAUACAAGUAGGGGGGACUAUACCCUUACCCCAAAAAUAAAAAUAGCAAGAAUUAAAAAAGUGGAAAAAUAUAUACAAAUAGUGGGGACUAUACCCUUACCCCAAAAAUAAAAAUAGCAAGAAAAGAAAUAUCAAUGGAAACAAAAAUUAGGUAGGCUACAUCGAUCCCUACAAAAAUCCAUGAAAGAGGCAGAGUCCCACAACAGAAAGAAAGACUCAGGGCAGCAUGUUUGUUGGCACAAGUGUUACCUUCUCUGAAAAUACGAAAAAACAAUAUAAUCAAUUUAAAAUAUCCUAAAACUCACAUGGGCAUGUCCUUUGUAAUUCUUUACAAUUUUAAAUAAAAAUAAAUAAAUAAAUUAAUAAAAGCUGACAUUUAAACCCUAUUGAUUUUCAAAAUGAAAUUAUACAACCAAAGUCUUAUCAAUGUAAAAUAUCCUAAAACUCACAUGGCAUGUCCUUUGUGAUUCUUUACAAUUUUAAAUAGAAAUAAAUAAAUAAAUAAAUAAAAGCUGACAUUUAAACCCUAUUGAUUUUCAAAAUGAAAUUAUACAACCAAAGUCUUAUUAAUUUCAUAAUCUGCAAUCAAAUUACUCAUUUAUUGCCCAUCCAAAAAAAAUUAUUUAGUCAUUUUCCCUUUCUCUCUUAGAGGAUCCACAAUGCAGCUCACUUUUUCGGCUGUUUAAGUGGAUCUCAUAUGUACUUAAUAAACACUCAACAUAUCCAAACCAGCACCUCAACAAACAAUUAUCAAAUCCUCAAUAGUUCUAUUUCAUUAUAUAUCAAUAAAACUUUUUUCAUUUUUUACAAUUUAUUAACCGUAAAAAAGUGAAGAGAAAUGGAGAAUAAGUGCUUCCAUUGUCACCAUCCCCGUCACUCAAACAUGACACCAUCACUAUUGUCGUCCCACCACCGUUGUGGUUGUCCUUUGCUCUCCACUUUAAAAAUAUGUCCUCUAAACAAAUUUAUCAAGUUUUUUUUUUCCGUUUUGAUCUCUAAAGCAGUUUUGAAAUUAAUACUCACAUAGAUUUCUUUUUUUCUUUGUUGAAAUUUAUUUUAUAAAAAUAUUUUUCAAAAUGAAAAAUCAAGAAUAACAAUAAAUACCAAUAUAUGCUCUGCUCUAGAAGUACCUGCAUGUGUAGUGCCCGAAAGUUUGCACUCCCGAAGAUGCAGCCACUUAGUUGAAGCCCAUUUAUUUCCUCUAAUUACUGGACUACCGCCUGAAAGCAAAGAUUAAUUAAAUAACUUCAUCAUUCAUAGCUUGAAAUUUCCAAUGUGAAAUGUAAUAUAAGUUUGAAUCACAUGGCUAUAAGAUUUUCUACAUAAAGUAUAUACUCUAUAAAAUUUUUUUAGGGAGAGCUGGAAAUAGAGCAUAAAUGCAGCAGCAGCAACAACAACAAUCAAGUUUUAUCUCGCUAUACAAGGUUUUGGUUACAUGAAUCAAAUUAUACCAUAAUUUUCUAUAAUAAACCAUAUUUGAUCAGACUGGAGGAGUUGGGUAGUUCAAUUGGUUUGAGCAAAAACAAAAUGAGUUGAGGGUCCUGGGUGCAAGCCCGGACAACAGAUUAUUAAUGCAACAAACUAACGACUAACAUUCAACAUUUUUUUUUUUUGAAGGAGACUAACAUUCAACAUUAAGAAAAUAUAUAUUUGGAUCCAACUGAUUAAUCUAUUGAUUGUUUUUAAUAGAGUAUAUAUGCAUAUUUUAGGGUUGAACCAUUUACAGUUUUUAAUAAUUUCUAACCGUGUAAACUAGAAGUAUCUAGUGUGCCAUCUGGCUUCAUGCUCCAAAACAGCAGAGCGUCGCCCAUUUUUGGUUUCACUGAUAGACCAUCUCCAGAACAUUUGGAUACAGAAGUAAAGUUGGGCUGAGCAUCAGGAAAUACAGUCUCACCACCUUCUUCAACGUCAGACCUACAUAAGGACCAAAAACAAGGAACUGUCAAAUUUGUAUACAAUUCCAUCAUAAAGCACAAUGCAAAACCAAUAUAUGGAAAGAGAAUAAGGCUUUACAGAUACAUAAGAACUGUAGCAACUCGUGGGCCUCCAUUCUUAGUGACGACCCCAUCAGAGGUGUAAUCGUAAUGAGGCUCACAUUUUUGCCCGACUCCAUAGUGAAUAACAUGAAGUCCUUCUCCAUUCUCUGCAUAUUUAAAAGUUAAAACAAUAUUAAGCAACGGUUUCAAGAGUUCAGAUUUGGGAUGAUUAAGAAAAGGACACUCGUUUGUGACAAUCAAGAUGCAUGCAAAUCACCUUAAACUUACUGUUCCACGAGAGGACCAUCUACCGACACAUUGAGAUAGACUGCCACUUAAUUAGAAAAAAUAAUGUGUCCCAUGUUUCCCACUAAGGUCCUAAGACAUAAGUAUAUGUGCAACAAGUUUGGUGUAUUAUGCACAAUACUUCAAUAUAUGUGCAGCAACAAGAGAAAAAAAAUGAAGAGAAAGAGGCAAACAGGUAGACAUAGAUAUCACACAAAUACUCAUACCUAUUGGUACGGAGGUAAUAUCAGCAAUUCUCCGUUCAAUAUUCUGGACAAUUUUGUCCUUUCCUCUAUCCAGAAACAUUCCUGAACUAGUUCGAGAGCUACACAGGCAGGGGAUAUAUCAAAAGUAUGCAUUACCACUGGACACAUUUCUCAAGAAAAUGUACAUGAAAAAGAAAAUGAUCUACAAUUAUUGGAACCAAUACAAAAAAAACACAAGCAUAGGCAAACCUGCUUUCUUUAACCUCUCCAGUUACGCCAUCGACAACAAGUGAUCUUGCCAUGAAAGGCUUGGCAAGAUUGAUCAAAUGCUCACAUUCUUCUUUUGACUGUUCAAAAUGAUAGGCAAAAUGGAGGUUUUAAUACAAUAUAGAUUCCAACAGUUUAAGAUCUCUCUCAUUUAAAAAAAAUAUAAAAAGAAAGAUCUCCACUCAAACUCUGGAGUCUUUCGGAAAGUUUAAGUUUCCUGCAAUCUGAAUAUUUCGUGUAUGAAUGUGAAUACUAGAUUUUCUUUUAUCACUAACCACCAUGAAAAACCUCUAUUGUCAUAUAAUUUAAUUUUCCAUGAGCCUAGCCUAUGCUUACAGACAUUACAGGUACAAUUAUAUGCAGCUCUCUAUUCAAUACUUGAAGAACUAUAUUGUGAUACAUGUUAGAUUAAUUUUCUCUUCAACUGUCUUAUGUAUUCUCAUAUAAAGUUAGGUUUAAAAUCGGUGUCCUCUCAUACUCUCAUAUUAAUUUUCACUUCUACUAUCUUAUGUAUAUUCUAAAACAGACCAGAAAAUUGUGAUACAUGGAAGCUCUUGGAACAGAUGACAGAAUUUCAGUCCAUUGAUCCUUCCUUUCCGUCAAACUGAAAUGCAUUCCGGAGGCAACAAUUACAAGACUUAAAAGAUUAUACACAUUUCAAAUCAAAAUCAAACAGAAUACCACUCACUUUAUGAUGUUUUCAUCCUUCCUUUCCGUCAGUAAUACUAAUAAGCCGGUCUUUCUCUCAACCUUGUUAUUCUUCUCACCUGUAAAACUUUGCCGUUAGAAUAAGGUUUUAAAUAACAAUCUCAGUUCAAGUAGCGGUAAGGAUUUCGAGAUUCGGCUUCUACGCAUGUUUAUUUGCGGAUUAAGGUGGAAUAAAUCACAACACACGACCGCAGUGGAAUUUUGUGAAUAAGGGUGUUCUGUCGCGUUUGUUUCCGUGGUUUUUGUUCACUAUACUAAAACGCACGGUGUUUUUGCGACAACAUAACACGCAGUCACGUUUAGAAACAGCAAACAAAUUUUUUUUGUUUAUUUUAAUAGAAUGAAAACUAAAAAUAAAAAAGUUCACGUUAUGUUUCAGUGAUGUUGCCUAUUAUUUGACAACAAAUUAAGAUAAGUGCUUAUUUGAUUAAAGACGGAGAUCAAAGAAAUUAAGAAACCCUUAUGAAUGGAUUACAUAUGCACGCACAAGCAUCACGGAAGAUUGAAUAGAAAACACUGUAGGAGACAUAAAGUUUUUGAAUAGAAAACAGUAAAACUCUGAUAUCAAGUAGCAAGUUCAUGAAAAAUGAAAAGUAAAGAAAUGAAAAAUAAAAUAUAGGUCAGAGUCAAACUUGAUUUUGAUUUUAAAACUAGUCAAUAAGUUAAUCAUUUGAAACAAUCACGCACAGAAGCAUACCUGAGUUGAUAAAUGUCGGAUAUUGUUGACUUCGCAUGACCUUAGAGGUCAUCUUCUGUCUCCUUGGUGUGGGAUGGUAACAAAAACGGUGGCAGCUAUUGUUGUAUGUGACUUGAGGACCACUGACUCUUUGUUUAUAGAGCUUAAGGGUCCGUUUGUCGCAUAUUAAGAUAGAGGUGAUUUUGACGUAAAACAUUUAUUUUAUAGAGAUUAGCGAAAAGAUUCGUUUUCCGCUCUUAUCAUUAAUAAUUUUGGUUUGUUGUUUAGGGGUUUCUAUAAUGGGUGUUGUAUUUUUAUUUUUAUUUUAAUACAUGAGAAAUAGAAACCAAAAUAUAAAGCUUAUGUGAUCUGUUAGUGAAAGAAAAAAGGUGAAAGCAUCUCUAUUUGAGAGAAAAUAUAGUGUUGAAUAAUCCCAACAAAUAUCAAUCCUUAGAGGGACACCUUUCAUUUCCCAUUCAGAAAACUGCCAAAUACUCUUCGUACAUAUGCCUGUAUAAUUCCAAUAUCUCAAGAGCCUAUAUAAUUGAGGAAUUUCUAUGGUACACCUGCAAAUUAAGGUGUACCGGUACUCUUACUUUAAAAAAUUUUAAAUUAACUAUUAUUUUUAUGGAAUAAAGAGCUAUUUGUUGAUAUUUAUAUUUUAGAAAAUGUCAUUUCAUAAGAAAAAAACGUCAUUUCAUUGUUUAUAAAAAUCUACUAAUUUUUUUUACAUUUUAUUGUAAAAAAUAAUCAAAAUUCUCUAUUAUAAGUACUAAAAAUUCAGAAAAAUUAAAUUUUAUUUCGUCGACGUUUUUGGUUAAUAAGAUUUAAUUAUUAUAAUUAUAGGUGAUGGAAAACAAUUUUUCUCUUCAAAAAAUAAUACAUUUAACUAUUAAUUUGUUGAUUGGGUGUACCAAUACACUCAAAUUUUUAAGUGUACCAUAGAAUUUGCCAUAUAAUUGUAUCGCAAGUCACCUAGUUCUAUGUAAUCUUAUAUUGAGACAUUUCACGUCAAAACAAAGCAAGAAUUACAAACCAAAAACAUCUAACAUUGUAAAUUUGCAGAUGCUAGCUCCAUUGCCUUGAAAUAAUUAUCUGCCACAACUAUUGUUUUAGCCGAACACUCUCUUCUUACAACCAGUCCAUAGUUCAUACACUAUCCCACCUACUCUUCAUACAUACAUUUCCUACACGUAUAAUAACAUUGCCAAGACAAAACAUAGCCAACUCUUCUAAUCUUACCGACAUCACAUCAUAGCCAAAACUUUGACAGAAUCAAAACCAACCAGUUCCAUCCUCAAACAUUGCAAAGGGUUUAAUCCCAGGGGCGGAGCCACCUCUUAGUGAGGGUGUGCACCUGCAUCCCCUGAAAUUUUAAAUUUUCAACCAAAUAUCUUGUUUUAUUUGUAUCUGCACACCCUCAAAUAUUUAUUUUGCACCUUCUCACCCACGUUUUACCCAACUCUGCACUGCACUAGUCCAAGCCCAAUGAUUUUUCUCUCACCUUCUGACGCAUAACAGAUGGCAGGCGUUGCACAUCACACACCAUGCAAAUUUUUCCAUUUCUUCUGUCAACGCUCUAGCUGUUUCUUAGUGUUUUAAUUACUUUUUUCCAUUCUUAAUAGGGUUAAUUAUGUUUUUGGUCCCUAUAAAAUUGAGAACUUUUAAGUUUAAUCCUUAUUUAAUUUUAAUAGGUUUUUUAGUCCCUACAAAAAAAAAAUACUUCUAAUUUUAGUCCUUGUUACGACAAAGUUUGUUUAAUUAUCCUUAAACUUUUAAAUUUUUGAACGAUUUUUUUAUGAUAAGUUUAUAACACUAUGAAAGGUUCAUUUACUAAAAUUUAGAAAUUUUUAACAUGAAACGAAUUAAAUAUGAAUUUUUUAAAAAGACAAAAGUUAAAGAUAAAUUUAACAAAUUCUGGACGUAGAAAUCAAAUUUUGCGACAAUUUUUUGUAGAUGAACUUUUAGUAAUGUUCUUAACACGUCUGCGAAAAAUUGUUCAAAAACUCAAAAGUUUAAGCAUAAAUUAAACAAAUUUGAAUUGAGGAGGGACUAAUACUGAUUGGAAAAAUUUAUUUUAAGGAUUAAAAGAACUAUUAAAAUUAAGUAAGGACUAAACUUAAAAGGUCCCAAUUUUAUAGGGACUAAAAACAUAUUUAACCCUUCUUAAUAUUAUAUUAUUACUACUUCAAUUUCUCCUCAACAUUAAGAUAAAAUUCAUGUAGAAUGUGUAUUGCAAGUCAGGGAUAAGGAGUUUACCACAAACUUAAUGUGUAUCAUUUGUAAAACAUUAACUACAUAAUAUUGAUGAUAUUUCUCUUGCCAUUUUUAUUUUUUUUGAGAGAAUUUCUCUUGGUUUCAAGUGGUAAAAUAAUAUAAUUUUUUAUUUGUCUAAAAGUCAUGAAAGAUACAAAAAAAUUAUGCGCUUCAUUUUUUUAUUUUUUAAAAAUAGUUAUUUGGUAGAGUAGGACAAUUAAAAAAAUUCUAAAUUUUGCAGUUUAAAUUUAUGGUAUAAAAAGAAGUCUUAUUUUAUCAUUUUCUUUAUAGAUGAAAAGUUAGUAAACUGAAACCUAGUUAAUCCUUUAAGGUUUUUAACAUUUUUUUAAGUUUUAAAUAGGCCCUUUAUGUUGUUAAUUUAAUACUCAUAUUUAAAGUUUUUAAGUUUUAAAUUGGUCUUAAAAAGGAUAAUAAGGAUUUAUUUGAAACUUACUUACAUAUCUAAUCUGAUACUUUUGUCAAACUUAAAGUACUAAAAGAUAUAUAUAGGGUUUUGCUAGAAAAUACACUUUAGAUGUGUCCUUUAGCAAGUCACACCUUAAGGUGUGAUAUCCACCCAACUAAUUUUUAUGAAGGUGUCUCUUAGCAAAGUUAUAACUUUUUAGUUAUAACUUUGUUAAAAGACACUUUCAUAAAAAUUAAUUGGUGUCUUUUAACAAAUGCCAAUAGGAUAAUUUUCUAAAAGAUAGCUUCUAGCAAAAACUCAUAUAUAUAUAUAUAUAUAUAUAUAUAUAAGUUCCUCUAAAGAAUCCUUAAAAAAAAAAAAAUUCCCUAAAGAAAUUAUUAAUGAAGUUUAAGAGUCUGCACCUCCUGAUCUAGGGUCCUGGAUAGACCACGGUUUAAUCCCCACAAUCUUUUUCCCUCUGAAUCAUUUUCCUUCUGUUAUAACUCUUUUUCCCAUCUCUACAAGCUCUUUGAAUAAUUUCCCAACUGUGGUAAAUCGUAGUUUAACUUACUAACUUCUACUAUUAAUUAUAUGUUUAUCAUUAGGGUUAAAUAAUUUUUUUGUCCAUAUAAAUAUAGUCAUUUUUAUUUUUAGGGUGAAAUGGAGAAGAGCCUCAGGUGUUUUGUGCGAUAAGAAAGUAUCACUUAAGCUUAAAGGAAAAAUCUAUCGGACAGCAGUCAGAUCGGCAAUGUUGUGUUGUACGGAGUGUUAAGCGGUUAAGAGCCAACACGAGAGUAAAGUUAGUGUAGCGGAAAUGAGGAUGUUGCGUUGGAUGAGUGGUAAUACUAGACAGGAUAGGAUUAAGAAUGACACCAUUAGACAGAGAGUGGGGGUAGCACCUAUAUAUAUAGUAGAAAAGUUGGUAGAAAAUAGGCUUAGAUGUUUUGGACAUGAAUAGAGAAGAACCGUAGAUGCCGUUGUAAGAAGAGUAGAUCAAAUGGAGGAGAGUCAUGUUAAAAGAGGUAGAGGAAGACCUAAGAAAACCAUUAAAAAAGAUUUAGAGGUCAAUGAGUUGGAUCCAAAUAAGGUUUUUGAUAGAACACUAUGACGUCAUUUGAUCCAUGUAGCCGACCCCACUUAGUGAGAUAAGGCUUGGUUGUUGUUGUUGUUUUUAGUUCUCAUAAAAAAAAUUACAUGUUUUGGUCCCUAUAAAAUUUUCUAGCACGUACUUUUAGUCCGUGUAAAAUUAAAAGUUGUUUAAUUAUGCUUAAACUUUUAAAUUAUUGAAUGAUUUUUUACAUAUUAAUUUAGAACAUUAUGCAAAGUUUCUUUGCAAAAAAUUAUGUCAAAAAUUGAUUUUUAGGUCCAAAGUUUUAUUAUUUUAAUCUUUAAUUUUUUGUGUUUAGAAAAAUUCAUAUUUAAUUUAUUACAUGUUAAAAAUAUAUAAUUUUAAUAAAAGAGUUUAUUAUAAUGUUCAUAACAUGUCUGUAAAAAAUCAUUCAAAAAUUUAUAAGUUUACACAUAAUUAAACACAUUUUAAUUUAAUAAAGACUAAAACUGCGUGCUAAAAAAAUUUACAAGGACCAAAAUAUGUUUUUUUUUUUUUUUAUUAAGGCCAAAAACAAAAUUUAGUAUAUUGAGACCAAAAACUUAUUUAACUAAUAUCAUUAAUUAUUAUUAAUGAAACAUUUAACCAAUUAUUUUUUAAAACUUCUUCUUCUUCGUUUUUAGGGAAAACUUCUAUUAAUUAAAUAUACAAGCCUUCUAUCUCUAUAUCGCAAACAGUUGAUAGUUUUUCUAAAAAAAAUAUAAUUAAAACAAAGCAAUUGGACUCAAGUAGUUAAUGAGUUGUAACAAAAAAAAAAGUAGUUAAUGAGUUCCACCAAAGACGAAUUGUUCAAAACAAAAAAAACAGAGUUUGAUUUCUUAGAUGGAAUAAUUUUUUGCCAUACUUUACUUACCUUUCGACGAACUUGAGAUUAACAUAACCUCUUUCCCCUAAAACCGGAGGGUUAACAUAAAAAGAACAAUUGUGCCUAUGAGAGCAUAGCUCAAUUAGUAACAACAUUAUAUAAUACUAGACCAUUGACCCGUGCUCGCACGGGUCAUACAAAAGAACAAAUAUAGCGCAAAUAUGAAAGUAAAUACAUUACUUGAAUCGAAAUAAUAGUAUAAUUCAAUUCAUAAGAUAAAUUGCCACAAACAUUUUUACUGUACCAUAUUAAACAAUUUCCAUGGCAUCGACCCUAUUACGGUAACAUAACAUAUAAAUUUAAUGACAUAGUUUAUUGAAGAGAAGAAAAUCCAACGUCUGUCGACAUAAAAAUAGUACUGAUAUGCAAUAACAACAAUACUACAAAACAAAGUGCUACACAUUACCAAAAACUUCUCUGUAGACCACAUUUGAUGUCACGAAAAAUUAGGAACAUAAGCGUUAGAAUGUGUAGGGGAAUUAGUUUAAUAUUAUUCUCCAAAAAAACAUCAGAAGGAAACACAGGUCUUAUUUAAGUUCUGUUUAGUCCUUUCCAAAAAAAAAAUGACAUUUUCAUAAGUAGAAAAAAUAUGAGAGAUUAGGACUAAUCUUAUAAUUCUGUUUUUAAGUUCUAAAAUAGGUGCUUGAAUAUUCAAAAUGAAAAAGAAUAAGGGCCAUAUGUUUCAUCAAAACCAAAAAUUAAAAACUAACUAUCAGUUUAGUGCUUUUCAAUAAAAAUAGUACAUUUUGUUAGGUAGGAAAAUAUUGCAUCAGAAGGAAACGUAAGAAAGGAUUGCAUCAUAAGGAAAUAAUCGGUUUUUUGCUUUCCAUAAAAAGAGGACAUCUUGAUAAGUAUUGCUUCACAAAAAAUUAGGAACAUAAGCAUUAAAAUGUGUAGGGGAAUUAGUUUAAUAUUAUUAUUCUCCAAAAAAAACAUAAGAAGGAAAUGCAGGUCUUAUUUAAGUUCUGUUUAGUCCUUUCCAAAAAAAAAAGUCAUUUUCAUAAGUAGAAAAAAUAUGAGAGAUGAGGACUAAUCCUAUAAGAAUAGGAGGAUUUGUUUAUUUAUUUAGUAAAAUUAAGGAAAAAAAUUAGGAGCGAUUUGUUUAUUUCGAUUUCCAUAACAAUUAACAUUUUGAUUAAAUUAAAUAGGGUUAAUAUAGUAAAAUUAAGCAAAGAAGUUAGGUUAAAUUUAUAAAAAAAAAUGUGUUCAGGUUAACUUUAAGGAAUAAGAGAUAAAGUGUUGAAAUAAAGAUUAUCUGAAAGCGAUUUGUUUUGUUCAAAAGAAUAAGAGCGAUUUAGGAGUGAUUUUUUGCUUUUAUUUUGAUUAAAUUAAAUAGGAUUAAUUAAAUAUAGGGGUAAUACAGUAAAAUUAAGCAAUAGGGUUCGGUUAAAUUUAGGGUAACAAUUAGCGUUCGGGUUAACUUUAAGGAUAGGGUUAAUUAAGCAUAGGGGUAAUAUAGUAAAAUUAAGCAUUAGGGUUAGGUUAAAUCUAGGGCAACAAUUCGCGUCCGGGUCAACUUUAAGGAAUAAGAGAUAAAGUGUUGAAAUAACGAUUUUCUGAAAAGCGAUUUGUUUUUUUCAAAGAAUAGGAGCGAUUUAGGAGUGAUGUUGCUUUUAUUUUGAUUAAAUUAAAUAGGGUUAAUUAAAUAUAGGGGUAAUACAGUAAAAUUAAGCAUUAGGGUUAGGUUAAAUCUAGGGUAACAAUUAGCGUUCGGGUUAACUUUAAGGAUAGGGGUAAUACAAUAAAAUUAAGCAUUAUGGUUAGUUUAAAUCUAAAGCAACAAUUAGUGUUUGGGUUAACUUUAAGGAAUAAGAGAUUGUUCAAAAAAAUAGAAGCGAUUUGUUUUGUUCAAAAGAAUAGGGUUAUUUAAACAUAGGGGUAUUGUAGGAAACGAUUAGGAACAAUCUGUAUCUGUAUGAUUUUUGUCUUGCAAACAAAAUAGGAAGAAUUUGUUAAUAGGAGUGAUUUGUUUUUUUUUAUGUUUAUAUGUUUAGUAGGAAAUGAUUUUUUUUUUUAAAUAGGAGAUUUCUGCAAUUUGAUAUUUUAAACAGGGGUAAUAAAGUAAAAGCAAACACUAAAUUUAGGUUAAAAUUAGGGCAACAAUUAGCAUUCGAGUUAACUUUAAUAAAUAAAAUAUAUGUAACGGUCAGGAUUCAAACCUCGUAUUCUCUGUUUAUUUACCUUAAAAGGAGAAUUUCUAAUUGCGUGAUUUAAAAAUAAAAAAAAUUAAAAAAAAAAAAAAACUCAUAAUGUGCAAUCAAAUUAUUUAGUCAUUGCCAUUAAAAAAAACAAUAUUUGGUCAUUUUCAUGCUUCUUCUCUUAGAGCAUCUAUAAUGUAGCUCAAUAUUUUGUUUGUUAAAGUAGGUCUCAUAUGCAUACAUUACUCAUUUUAUAAUAUAGUAAUGAACAAACACCAAAUAUAUCCAAACCAACACCUCAACAAACGAUUAUUAAAUGGAUGUCAUCAACCGUUUAUAUUUCAUUACAUUUCAAUAAAACUUAUUCAUUUUUAUACAAUUUAUUAAAUGAAAAAGUGAAGAGAAAGAGGGAAUAAGUGCUUCAAGUGUCACCAUCCCCACCACUGCAACGUGACACCAUACAAUCACCGCCUCACCAUCGUCCACCACUGUUGUGGUUGCCACUGCCCUACUUUAAAAACAUGUCCUCAAAACAAAUUUACAAAGUUUUUUUUUUCUGAUCUCUAAACCAGUUAUAAAAUAAAGGGUUAAUGGUGCUUUACCUCUUGUAAUAUAGGUCAUUUUUUGUUUUCCCCCCUGUAAAAUAUUUUUUUUGAUUUACCCCCUUGUAAAAUAUAUUUUUUUUGGAAUACCCCCUUAAUAGGUCAUAUAAACGACUUAUUUUAGAAAAUUGUUUUUCAAAAUGAAAAAGCAAGAAAAGAAUACAAUAAAUACCAAUACAUCCUCCUACACAAUCCUACAUAUCAAGUCAAACAUAACUGAGAACUUAGAUUUUGGGCACAAACUUCACUUAAUAUUUGAUAAAUCGCAAGUAAAAUUCGGACCCCUAUUUGAGGAGAACAAUUGCCUCAUCCUUUAAACUUUGAACUCCGUAAGAUGCAGCAACUUAUUUGAAGCCCAUUUACUUCCUCUAAUUACUGGGCUACCACCUGAAAGCAAAGAUAAAUUAAUUAACUUCAUCAUUCAUAGCUUCUAAUUUCUAAAGUAGAAUGUAAUAUAAGUUUGAAUCACAUGGCUAUGAUAUUUUCAACAUAAGUUCUAUACUCUAUUUAUAAAUAUUUUACGAGAGAGGAUUGUAAGAGUUUCUAACCAUGUAAGCUAGCUGUAUCUAGUGAGCCAUCUGGCUUAACGCUCCAAAACAGCAGAGCAUCGCCCAUUUUCGGUUUCACUACUAAACCCUUUCCAGGAUGAUAUUUGGAUACAGAAUUAAAGUUGGGCUUAGCAUUAGGAAAUACAGUCUCACCACCUUCUUCAACGUCAGACCUUCAUAAGUACCAAAAACAAAGAACUGUCAAAUUUGUAUACAAUUCCAUCAUAAAGCAUAAUAUAAAACCAAUAUAUGGAAAGAGAAUAAGGGUUUACAGAUACAUAAGGACUGUAGCAACUCGUGGACCUCCAUUGUUGGUGAUUCUCCAAUUAAAGUUGUAAUCGUAAUGAGGCUCAAAUUUCUGCCCGACUUCAUAGUGAAUAAUCUGAAGUCCCUCUCCAUUCUCUGCAUAUUUAAAAGUUAAACAACGGUAAAUGAGAACAAAUAUCAAGCAAUCAAUCAUGUCGCUCGAUAGAGGAUACAUGGUGAUAUGGCAAAACAUUUUUUUUUUCUUGACAAACUCAUGUUUUAGAGAUACUUGGCAUAAGAAACGGUUUCAAGAAUUCAGAUAUGGGAUGAUUAAGAAAAAAGACACUCAUUUGUGACAAUCAAAUUGCAUUGCACAUCACCUUAAAUUUACUUUUUCACGAGAGAACCAUCUACCGACGCAUUGAGGUAGACUGCCACUUAAUUAGAAAGACUAAUGCAGGUAGACUGCCACUUAAUUAGAAAGACUAAUGCAACCAAUGUUUCUCACUAUAAGUUCUUCAGAGGGUCUUCAAGAAGUGAUAUGUGCAAUAAAUUUGGUGCAUUAUGCACAAUACUUCAAUAUAUGUGCAACAACAACUAAAAAAGGCUAAGAGAUGAAGGGAAAGAGGCAAACAUGUGUACACAGGUAUUACACAAAAACUCAUACCUAUUGGUAUGGAGGUAAUAUCAGCAAUUCUCCGUUCAACAUUCUGCACAAUUUUGUCUUUUCCUCUCUCCAGAAAUGUUCCUGAACUAGUUCGAACGCUACAUGCAUGGGAUAUAACAAAAGUAAUGCAUUACCGCUCGACACUAAGAACUCAAGACAAUGUAUAUGGAAAAAAACACAAGCAUAGGCAAACCUGUUUAGUAUACCCUGUCCGGUUACGCCAUCGACAACAAGUGACCUUUGCAUGAAAGGCUUGGCAAGAUUGAUCAAAUGCUCACAUUCUUCUUUUGACUGUUCAAAAUGAUAGGCAGAAUGGACAUGUUAAUGCAAUAUACAUUCCAACAGUUUACUACCACAAGAAUUCAAAGAAGUAAACUAAGAUCUCUCCCAUUUCAAAAAAAAAAAACUAAGAUAUCCACUCAAACUCCGGAGUCUUUUAGAAAAUUCAAGUUAGUUCAAGUUUACUGCAAUCUGAAUAUUCCAUGUAUGAAUACCUAGAUUUUCUUUUAUAUUAACCACCCAGAAAACCCUCUAUCUUCGUACAAUUUAAUUUCCCAUGAGCCUAGCCUAUGCUUACAACAUUACAAGUGGAAUUAUAUAUUUCUCCUUGACAAACUGCAAUAUCAUAUAUGCAGCCCCUCUAUUCAAUACUUGAAGAACUUAAUCUUCCAUACAAUCAUUUAUUAUUUAAUUGAUUUAAGAAAGAAAGUAAGAUAAACAGCCAUUUUGGUCGAACGAGUGAUGUGCUGCCAUUAUAGUCACUUAAUGUAUCGAAAUUGCAAACACAACCUCAGGUUUCUUUUUAGUUGGUCGGUUUGGUCCUCAAAUGUGUUUUUCGUUAUUCAAUUUAGUCCAUAAAAUUACAAGCGUCAUUUUUUUUCAAUUUUGAUACAUUUAGGGACUCUAACGACAGCGCCUCACGCUCACCAACCAAAAUUGAUGUUUACCCCAGGAAAAUAUUUCCAAUCUCAAAUGUUCAAAAACUAAAUUCACAAUUUAAUAAAAUGUAUUGUGAUAAAUGUUAGAUUAAUUUUCUCUUCAACUAUCUUAUGUAUUCUCAUCUAAAUUUAGGUUCAAAAAUUGUUUUCCUUACAUCCUCUCAUAUUAAUUUUCUCUUCAACUAUCUUAUGUAAUCUAAAACUGACCAGAAAAUUGUGAUACAUGGAAGCUCUUGGCUCCGAUGAAAGAACUUCAGUCCACUGAUCCUUCCUUUCCGACAAACUGAAACAAAUUCCGGGGGCAACAAUCACAAAACAUGAAAGAAUAAACAUAUUUCAAAUCAAAAUCAAAUAGAAUAUCACUCACUCUACGAAGUUUUCAUCCUUCCUUCCUGACAACUGAAACGAAUUCCCAAGAAUCCAGAAACAUGAAAGAUUAAACACAUUUCAAAUCAAAAUCAAACAGAAUAACCACUCACUCUAUGAAGUUUUUAGCAUUCCUUUCCGUCAAACUGAAACAGAUUCCAGAGGCAACAAUCAAAAAACAUGAAAGAUUAAACACAUUUCAAAUCAAAAUCAAACAAAAUACCACUCACUCUAUGUAGUUUUCAUCCUUCCUUUCCGUUAAACUGAAAUGAAUUCCAGAGGCAGCAGUCACAAAACACGAAAGAUUAAACACAUUUCAAAUCAAAAUCAAAUAGAAUAACCACUCACUCUAUGAAGUUUUUAUCAUUCCUUUCCGUCAAACUGAAACAAAUUCCAGAGGCAACAAUCACAAAACAUGAAAGAAUAAACACAUUUCAAAUCAAAAUCAAUCAGAAUACCACUCACUCUAUGAAGUUUUCAUCCUUCCGUUCCGUCAAACUGAAACGAAUUUCGGGGGCAGCAAUCACACAUCAUGAAAGAUUAAACACAUUUGAAAUCAAAAUCAAACAGAAUACCACUCACUCUAUGAAGUUUUUAUCCUUCCGUUUAGUUCGUUUUAAGCUGGUCGCUGUCUCCACCUCGCUAUUCUUCUGACCUGCAAAACUUUUCCGUUAGACAAAGUUUUAAAAAAGGAUUUGUAGCCGAGAAAAAGGCCAUGACGAAAAGGUAAAAGGUAGCUGUCGUUACAGUCUUCCCCGUUUUACAUAUUAAAAAACACUAAAUAAAAUAAAAAUCACAAUGAAACGCACUUAAGGCCGCACGACAAAACACCAUUACUGCCGUAACAAAACGCAAUUCAUGAAAAUAGACGGAGAAUCACGUUAUUUUUCAAUUGAGGUGGAUGAAAAUGACAUUUUUAGUAGAGAAUUGAACAUAGAAUACAUAAUGUUAUCCCCUUUGGACACUUUUUCCUAGUUUAGAAUUUUAAUUUUAUCCUAAUUUAAGUUAGUAUAUAUAUUAUUUAAAAGUUGUGCAAUGUUGUGAUUAAUUCACACCACACAACCCUUCUUUGUGACGUAGAAUCCAUUACUGCUGAGUUUGAGAAAUCUUAUAGGUGACCGCAGCCAUUAUUUAAAAUCUUGUUAGUGUGCGUAUAAUGCCCAAGGACUUAGAAAGCCCAUAAUAAAAUAUAACCCUAAAUCAACUAACUAUCUAUGAUACCAAGAAGAGAAAAGCUGCCGUUUAAUUUCAUUCCAUGUUCUUCCACCGUACCAAAAACAGCUUCGUGUCAUGUUUCUUCUUUUUUAUCAUGAUUUAUGAGCGUGUGAGAGACAUGCAGAUAACCGGUGCAAAACUACUUUUCUAGGGUAUACAAAAUGGAAAAAGAUAAGAUGACAUAUGUAUGCAAUUCGAAACGGUGAUAAAUAAGCGCAAGUGAUGGUGGGGGUAAAACUCAACGGAAAAUGAAAUAUAGGUCAAAACCAAACUUGAUUUUGAUUUUAAAAGUAGAGUGAUUAACUAUAAUCAUCAGAAAUAAUCAUGUACAGAACUAACACAGAGUGUACCUGAAUUUGGAGUGACCUUGCAGACCAUCUUGGUUGUCAACAAGAACCGCGAAAGCUAUUGACGUUUCUAUUUUAUUUAUAAUAGGAAGGGAUGUCAAAGAACCGUUUCUGACAGUGACAUGAGAGACUUGCGAGCGACAGAUAUAUAUAUAUAUAUAUAUAUAUAUAUAUAUAUAAAGUACCAAAUCUAUUUAUAUAACCUUGGUUUGCACAGUUUAGCUUUUAUUUAAGGCUUAAAUGUGUAAAUCGUCCCUUUAAUUUGGCGUGUUUUUGGUUUUCGUCCCUGUAUCUUUUUUUGUUCUAAAACAACUCCUGUAAGUUAAUAACUUUUUGAUUUUCGUCCCUCCCGUCAACUUCCGUUACAAAAACGCACAUGUGGCAAACAGAGGAUGACGUGGCAGACGAUGCUGACGUGGCAAACUUAUUGAUGAGUCACACGGUGAGAGGGACCAAAACCAAAAAACGAAAUUUGUAGAGGGAUCAAAGCCAAAAAAACAAAAUUCGUAAAGGGACCAAAACCAAAAAGCGAGAAAAAAAUAGCUUUCUUCAUCUUCUUCCUUCCACCUCUUUUACAUCUUCAUCGUCUUCAUAAAUUCAUCAAAAAACCCAGGAAAAAAUACUAAGAAAAGAGAUAAAAAAAAAAAAAAAAAACUCAAAAUCAUCAUCUCACUCUCAAUAGACAACUUCUCACAAACCCAAACAAAAUUCCAAUUGACAAUGGUCAGAUUGACAUCUCAACACUAAAAUCCACAAUGUUCAUAGUCCCAGCUAAACUUUUAUUGAUAAUAUCAAAAUCAAAUUAUAACAACAAAAUCCUCAUUGUGAAUGCUCGAAUUCCCAAUAUUGAAAAAAUUCACAAAAUUCUCAAAUUGAAAAACCUAAAGAAUGAUUUUUUUUUUCAUUACCAACUCUCGUCUCAUCAUUGAUCUCGCAUCUCUGUUGUUUCUUGGUCACUCCAAAUGCUUUCUUUGUCAAUUCUUUGAACUCUAAUCUCAUCAUUUUUGUUUCGAACAUUUGGGUCGUGUUCUUUUUUUCGGUUGAUUUGGAAGAUUGUUGUGUGAAAUUGGAUUAUAAGAGAAAGGUUCAAGUUUGAUAUGAAUAUUCUUUUCAUUUGAAUAUUUAGAGGGAUAAUAAAUAGAAUUGAAAAGUAUGUUGGAAUGUUGAAUUGAGAUAAGUUUUAUUUUAAACGAUUUUAAAGUGUGUGAAAUUGGAUUGCACGUUGAACGGUGAGUAUAUUGGUUUAAUUUGAUUUUGUUGUUUGUGAGAAGAAAUAAAAGAGAAGUUAUCACAUGAAGGUAUAAUUGAAGGUGUUGGAUUGAGUUUGUUGUUGUUUUGAGUUGAUGGAUUUUUGGAUUUUGAAGUGAUGAAUUUAUGUGUUUGUUUGAUGAUAAUGAUAAAGUUUAUGAAGACAAUGAUAGUAAUGAAGAAGAAAAUGUGGGAAGAAGAUGAAGAAAUGUAAUUAAAUUUGAAUUUUUCGUCUUGUUUUUUGGUUUUUGUCCCUCUACAAAUUUUGUUUUUUGGUUUUGGUCCUGGAAAUAGUCAAGUCCAUCUACAAAUUUCGUUUUUUGGUUUUGGUCCCUUUACGAAUUUUGUUUUUUUGGCUUUGGUCCUUCUACAAAUUUCGUUUUUUGAUUUUGGUCCCUCUCACUGUGUGACUCAUCAAUAAGUUUGCCACGUUAGGCACUACCACAUCAUCCUCCGUUUGCCACAUGUGCAUUUUUGUAACGGAAGUUGACGGGAGGGACGAAAAUCAAAAAGUUAUUAACUUAUAGGGGCUAUUUUAGAACAAAAAAAGAUACAGGGACGAAAACUAAAAAUACGCCAAAUUACAGGGACGAUUUACAUAUUUAAGCCUUUAUUUAAAACAUUCUCCGUCGUAGGGGUGGCAAUGAACCGAACCAACUCGAUUAAAAUUUGUAAUUUGAUUCGAUAAUUUAUUCAUUGAACUUGAGCUGAAAAUUAAGUUCGUCAACUAAUUGAGCUGAACUUGAACUAUAUGUUGUUCGACUCGUUUGGUUCACAAGAUGACUCGAUUAUAUAUGUAUAUAACACUUAAAAAAAUAUUUUUAAAUAUGUAUAUAAUACUUUCAAAACUAGGAGAAACACUUAGCAAUAAUAGGAUAAAAAUGAGCUACAUUAAAAUUGAUAAACAAUGUCAUACACAAUGUUGUUGUUGUUUUUAAGGAUUUCAAAACUAAAAAAGUCUCGCAUCGAAAAAUGCAUGAAAAAUGGAGGAUACGAUUAUCUAUAAUAAGAGAAACAUAUGUCACAAGAAGACAAAAUUGGAUUUGGUGGUUGCAUAUCAUUGUUAAAUUUGACUUUUGAGAUACGUGGUUCAAGUGGCUUUACUCAUUUUCAUACUUAAAGUUGUGUCCUUUGAACAAACAAAUUGAAUUUAAUGAGCUGAACCAAACUGUUCGUGAACUUUAAACGAGCCGAACUUGAGCUGAAAAAAAGUUUGUGUUAAACUCGAACCGAGGUUCAAACUGAGCCAAUUCUUAACGAGUCGAGUCGAGCUCAGACAUGUUCGAUUCGAUUCGACUCAUUUCCAGCCCUAGGUGUGGGACUUAUGCUCUUUUUUAACAAAACUAAGCUUUCAUCCAUAAUCACCUAUGAAGCUCGGAUACGUGCUACGUGUGCAGAUACAAACGAUACGAUACAGGUAUGCGGAUACAUAAAUCUUUUAAAAGCUAAAAGUCAUUAACAUUAUUUUUUUACUCUUCAUUAUUUUUUUAAAGAAAUUUCUCUUUAUUAUUAUAUUAUUAUAAAAGUCACAAUUUUUGAAAAUAAUACAUGUGAUCAAAAUAAAUAAAUAAAUAACGUAAAGUUUUCGUAUAAAUCAUAUUCGAUUUUCAUUCAUAUCUUAUGAUAUUAGCAGAAGUAUUAUUAAAAGAACUCAACACAAAUUUUGUUUAAUAUUGAUUAAUUGAAUCUACUCUCUCGUUAUCUUCAUCCACAAGAAAUUUGAUUUUUAAGAGGUUCAUCGAGACAAUUUGACUGAUUCGUGUCUGAAGUUGAAUUAUUUAAAUCGAAUUUUCAUAACAUUGUCUCACUUGGAAAAAAGGGUGAAAAUUCCAUAUUGAACACGUGUGUGGAUGGAAACAAUCAAGGUAGCUCGAGCAAUAGGGGGGCUUAACCUUGCACCAGAAAAAGGCCAGGAUAACACAGUCAAAUUUUGUUCUCUACCAUGCAAAAAUCAGUAUAGUCUAAAGUGCUUUACGAAAAGUUGUACCAAUGUUACUAUAUAAUUUCAAAAACUUGUUUGCGUGCCAUGCACAAAAUGCACAAAAACUUGUUUACUAUAAUUGUUCCAUCCAAACAUAUGUAUGCAUUCAUCUUACUGUACACAAAAAUGAGUAUGGGAAACAGAGUUAUUUACAAAAUCAUUUAUACAUGAGAAAAUGGAGACAUCAGAGGAAGGUUGAGGAGCACCUAUCCCUCAAUCAAACACACCAGCACACAAGGAAAAAUGGGAUGGCUGAACCAUAACCAGAGUAAUAAUGGCACCCUCUUCUCCAUCAUUUGUUUGAAGCAAUUUCCGAAUCCUAUUAUCAUUUUUUUCCUUUCCUAUUUCUUCAUUUUCUGUUGUAACAUGUUUUUUCUAUCUUGCAAUUUGGUUAUUUUUUUAGUUAAACCCUAUUCUUAUUCUGUUUCUACAUUAUUUUUGUUCCCCCUUUAUUUUGAAGACAAUGAGAGUGUAGCGUUAAUUCAGACGAUGAAAAUCUUAUAUUUUGAUUACAAAGAAUGUAAUUUAGAAAGUGAAAUGCUCACCAAUGCAUUUACUGAAUACCAUUGUUGUAACUUUUAACAAAGGAAGUACAUAAAUUAUGCACUUUUUUAACUAAUGAAAUGCAUGAAUUUUGUAUUUUUAACUAAUUUGGUGCAUCAAUUAUUUGCUUCAUUAUGUGAGCUUACAAGAUUAUUAUAUUCAUUCUUCUUUGGUUGAUUUGCUCAGAUGUAUUGAACAAUUUUGAUUUAUUUAUUGUUAUAAGUUUCUUGAUUCAUAGAGGAAGUAGGAAGAGUACAACCAAAUAUGAGAAAGGAGGCACAAUAUAGUUAGAAUUAAGGCUUAAUUGCACUUUUGGACCCCUAUCUUUUCAAAAGUUGCGGUUAAGGACCCCUAACUAAUUUAAAUACAAAACAGCCCCCUAUGUUUUGAUUCUUUGACAGUUUUGGACCCCCAAGGCAAAAAAAAUAAAAAAAUUUGACACGUGGCACCUCACUUAGGGUGCCACGUCAGCGUUGACCGAGUCAACAAUGGACUGGGGGUCCAAAACUGCCAAAGAAUCAAAACAUAGGGGGCGGUUUUGUAUUUAAAUUAGUUAGGGGUCCAUAACCGCAACUUUUGGAAAGAUAGGGGUCCAAAAGUGCAAUUAAGCCUAGAAUUAAUAAAGGGCAAUCCAGUUGGAACACGAUACCGUUUCUGUAAGAUGAUAAAAAUUUUGCGAAAACAGCUGAAGAAGCAGCCACUGAUUUGACCACAUUGUUAAUUGAGUUGUUUAAUAAGGAUGAAAAACUUCAGAAAAGUUCUCUGUUCAUUGUAGCAGAGUCUUAUGGUUGCAAAUUUUGGAUUAUCUGCUCUUAAACUAUCAGAUCUCAGAUUAGUCGCAUUCAAUUAAUGGUUAUUGAAAACAAUUCUGACUUAUGACUGGGAAUAGUUAAAUUGUUGUUUUCUUGUUAGGAAAUGAUGGAUCCUUUUGUAUUAAAAUAUUUUUAGAACAUAAUAACUUCAAGAAAAUUUAUGAUUUUGGGAAACUUUUUCUUAUGUAUGUGUGGUAUUAGGAGACGGUUGAAUGUCACCAGAAGAUUUUCUGGUGUGUGAUAGAAUUGUUCUGCCAAUAAGUUUAUUUUGUUUAGUGGUGGUUUCGAAUUGCAGUUGUUGUUCGCUGCAAACCUUUAUAUUGCGGUAAUGGACAAAUUGGUGGUUGUGACUUGUGGUUGUGGAACCUCAAUUUAAAACUAUUUGAACUCUCACAAAUUUCAUACUUGAUCCGAAUUUUCAGUUCUCGUGAGGUCCUCCCUUCAAAGCCUUCUCAAGACUUGAUGAUAAUGGACUGAAAAAAUCAAGCAGGUAAAUAUGUUUUCCAUCUUCUCAAUUAGAAAAUGUUGUGCAAAAGCCAAAAAGGUUAAUACAUAGACAGGUCAAUUUCUCUAGAACCUAACAAAUCCAUUUUGUAGAUCAUUAUAGCUCAGAGGAUCAAGAAGCAACUUGAAGAUGGUAAAGUUUUUUGUGCACCCAACUCAUGGAGUAAAUCAACAUUUGAGUUUGUUAAUAUCUAAUCAAUGAAUAUGUAAUAUGAAUUGUUUGAUCUCAGAUCAAUAGUUGAGAUUGAUAAUUACGUGUAACUGUGUAACGAUAUUAUUACUGCAGGGAAUCCAAUCUCAAUUUCAAUAUAGUAAACUUCUUGCUCUGCUUGAUUUAUAAGCAGAUUACACGAAUAUGGAAAAUAUGAUCAAUGUGAAAAGCGUGUUUGUGGUUAUAUUAGUCAAGGAUACAUUAAUCAAUAUGGGAACCGUGAAUAACAAUAGUAAAUGCAUGGGAACCGUGAAUAGUGAAUAUAUUGAUUAUGAGAACCUUGAAUAAAAAGUUUUGGAAAAAGAGAAUGGACAAGGGUAAAUUAGGAAGAACAUGAACAAUUUUACAUUGAUAUUGCAAAACGACUUAUAAUAAUAAAUUUAUUUUGGUAUAAAACCAAUCAAUUUCUUCUGGGCUUCUUUCACUCUUUUAGGUUCAUUAGGGGUGUUAUAUCUUUCAGUUUCCAGUUAUUAUGGUAGACAUUUUUUCUCUUUGAUUUCAUCUGAAUUUGUAGUUCCUUUUUUGCCACAAGGGGUCACCCUGACUUUCUAUGGAAUCGCAGGUCUCUUUCUAAGUUUACAUUGGUGGCUUCUAAUUUUUUGGGACAAAUGUUUUUUCCAAAGCGACUUACAUUGUGGGACGGAGGGAGUAUUUCUUUUGACCGAAUACAUCUUGACAAAGUGCCCCUACUCACGUCCAAUGCUUCAGAAAGAUCUCUAAUAGUUGUUCUUUUUUUCAAAGGAAUGUCACGAACUCGAUCAAGGUCUACUUGAACUCUCUUGCGCCCACAAUUUCCUGCCCUUUUACUAGACACAUCAGCAUGCACUCCUUUGUUCUCGGCAAGUUUCCAAAUACGUUGAACAUACCGUAUAUGAAGUGAAAAUUGCGACGCCACUAAGCUGGUCAUUCCUCUUUUCAAUUUUCCAUCAACACUUUUCUCUAAUAAAGCCUCAUAUAUUAAUCUUCUUUCAAUAUUAGACAACACCUUUCUCCUUCGUACCUCUGGUACUUCCAAAUCUGACAUGUCAUUGUCAUUGUCUUCUUCUAUAUGUAGGAUGAAAUAAACAUUAUAUAAGACGUUUUCAUAGAUUAAUUAUUAGAAAGAAAAGAAAACAAAUUAAAUAAAUAGGAUAAAUUAUACCCGUACAUUCUAAUCCAAUAUCUUCAUGUAGUACAUUGCUAUUUUCUGCAUAAUUUUCUUCAUACUGUUCACUUUCUAAUAACACGCAAAAGAACAUAUAAGAACAUGGAAUGUAAAAUAAUGUUAAAAAAGAAAACUAUAAAUUAAUUGAUCAAGUUUGUAGUGUGAGAAAAUAAGACAAAGUUUAUUCUUAACUACAAUCAUAAGAUAGAGGCGUGAAGAAGCAAUAAACGGAUGUUUAGUUACUUACCAAUAUGCUCCUGGACAUCUUCAUUCAAACAUGUAUCAAAUGGUUGCACAUUCAAGUCAAACGAAAAUUGCAGUGGAGAAUUUGGAAUGAUAUUAAGAUCAAUAUUUUGUGCUACAUUGAUGUUUAAAUCGGGGAGAUGAUGCAUUUCAUUUGAAUUUUGUUGCUGGACAUCUCCAUUAUCAAUUUCUUGAUUAAAAAUUUCAGAUUCAUGAUUUGAAGUCAUAUUAGUAUGUUUUUGUUUAGUUCAAUAAUCUUAAUUUAUAGAAAAAAUGAACAGCCACAUACUAAUUUGUUGGAGGAAAACUUGAAAAAAUUUCAUGAACAAAUUGGAGGUUUUUUUAUAAAUCAAAUGAAAUUUUUCUUUACAUGGGAGAAAGAGAGAAAAGGUAUCGUUGCCUUGGUACAUGCAAUUGAAGAGAGAGAGAAGGAACCAUAUGAAUUCAUUGCCUUGGAGUUGGAGGAAUGUGGGAUGGUGGCAAUUAAGUUGGAGUAAUUGUGUUGCCAAGGGUAAAAGAGGAAAACACAUAUUUAAUUUUAACAAAGUUCACAAAAGUUAAAUAUUUCUUAAUAUGCGUAAAAGUGUCAAAGCGACUUACAUUGUGGGACGGAGGGAGUACGAAAAAACUCAAAUGCUAUAAAACCUGCAUUAACUGAAGGAAAUAAGAAAGCUUGAUUACAAUUUUGCAUAUCAAUGCUUGAUAGUGCUAGCAUAGAUCGUGAUCCAAUUUUCAAGGGGAUGUAUAACACCGUUCACAUUGACGAGAAGUGGUUUUAUUUGAAAGAAAAGUCGAAGAAGUUUUACUUGGUCCAUGAUGAAGAAGAUCCAAUUUUCAGUUGUCAAAGCAAAAAUUACAUACCAAAAAUCAUGUUUUUAGUGGCCAUUGCUAGACCAAGAUUUGAUGCACAAGGAAAAGAAAUAUUCUCCGGGAAAAUUGGUGCAUUUCCCUUAAUAACAAGAGAGCCAGCUAGAAGGUCUAGUGUAAAUAGACCUGUUGGUACACUUGAGACAAAACCAAUACAAUCGAUUACUAGAAAUGUCAUCAAGAAAUGUGUGCUUGAGCAAGUUGUACCUUCCAUGAUGGAACUAUGGCCAAUUGAAGAAAGGGGUCAACCAAUAUUUAUUCAACAAGACAAUGCAAAAACACACAUUGAUUCUGAAGAUCAAGAUUUUCGUUGUGUAGCCUCACAAAAUGGAUUUGAUAUUCGUUUGGUGCGUCAACCACCAAACUCUCCUGAUUUAAAUGUUUAAGAUCUUGGUUUCUUUAGGUCAAUUCAAGCCUUACAACACAAGAAGUCUCCUAACUCUGUUGAUGAUCUUGUGGAUGCAGUUCAAAAGUCAUUUGAAGAGUAUGACACUAUCCUGUCAAAUCGUAUAUUUUUAUCACUUCAAUCAUGUAUGAUUGAAAUCAUGAAAGUAAAAGGUACCCACAACUACAAGAUUCCACAUAUGAAGAAAGAACAAUUAGAAAGAAGAAAGGAAUUGCCAACACAAAGGAAAUGUGAUAUUCAAUUGGUGCAAGAGGUUCUUAGUUAUUUAGAUCAAUAGGUGGAAAAGAAUAGUGAGAUGUUGAAGUUACUUUCAUUUUUGUGUUUUGAGUAUUGCUUGGAUUUAUUCACUGUUAGAAUAUGCUACUGAAUGGUUAUGAAGAAUUAUCGUAAAAUAAAAUCACAAAAUUAGUGAUGAGUAAAUAAACAAUUAACAAGAAUAUAAGUAAGAUUGAGAAAGGAUAAAAAGAUCUUAAAUUCAUAAAAAAAAAAAAAAAAAAAAAAAAACAAGUUUUUGUCUGAUGCACGGCUCAUAUUAUUGAGAAAGGAUUUCCCCUUAAAAACAACUCUUAUUAUAAGAUGAUAAAAAAGACAACUUUUAAUAAAACUUUGGAAGAUAAAUCUUGCGUAAUUUCUUGUACUCCUUUUUAAUUUCGUCUGAACUGUCAUCUUCCUCGUCAGGAAAUUUGUUCAAAUCCAAACCAUUGUCUUCAGGGAUAUUUAAAUCAAUGUUUAAGUUGUCUUCAACAUCUUCCAAGUUGUCUUCAACAUCUUCUUCAUCCAUGGUAUCUGGAACCAUCUCUGAAUCAAUGGGAUCUUCAUCAUCUUCUUCAUCCAUGGAAUCUGGAACUAUUUCUGGGAAUUUAGAAACUUCAUCCCCUUCAGUAUCAGUAAAAACCUCAGAAUCUAUAGAGUCUUCUACUACUUCUGAAAAUGUUUUUGUGUCUUUGGAAAUUUUCAUGGUUAAAAAAGUAACAUUAUCAUAGUUAGAUACAAGUUUAUAAAGAGUCUGAGUAACAAUUUGUGGAGAGAGUCAAUAGUUAAGUUCAAUGUCAAAUUUAAUUAAUGUAGAUUAUAUGGGAACCGUGAAUAACAAUAGUAAAUGCAUGGGAACCGUGAAUAGUGAAUAUAUUGAUUAUGAGAACCUUGAAUAAAAAGUUUUGGAAAAAGAGAAUGGAAAAGGGUAAAUUAGGAAGAACAUGAAUAAUUUUACAUUGAUAUUGCAAAACGACUUAUAAUUUGAGACAAAUGUUUUUUCCAAAGCGACUUACCUUGUGGGACGGAGGGAGUAUUAUCUAUAGGGUUUUUCUAUCAUUUGCACGUGUUAAGAAGUUUAAAAUAGUAAAAUUGUAUCGGAACUUAUGCAUUUUAUUUAUAUUAACUAUAAAACUUUUUAAUAAAUAAUUGUUGUUUUUCAAUGUAAAGUUACUAUUUUUUCAAUGUAAUGUUAGACAAACCCUUAUCUAUAAACAUCCAAUUUUUUACUCUCCAAUGGGUGUCUAUAGUUUAGCGUCAAAUAGGUGAAGCAUGCUUUUAUGCCCUCUCUCUCUCUUUGUCUCUCUCUCUCUCUCUCUCUCUCUACUUCUACUUUCACAGUCGUGUUUCUCCUCUCAUCCCUCGCCGUCGUCGACUUGACCGCCACCGUCCACCUCAGCCUCAACACACCGCCGUCGUUUUUCCUUUUUGAAAAUCACCUCAAUGAUCCUAUCUAAUCCUUUGUAUUGCGACUGACAUUGCCUUAAUAAUGCAGGGUGGCAGUUCCAACGGAUACCCGUCUGAUUUACAUGUUCUGAUUGGAAAAAAAAAUGCUUUUUAAGGUUGAAAUUACAAAUGGCAACUUGCUUCACAGCUGGAGAAAUUACGGUGUCAAACGAACAUCCGAUGACGCUGAUCUUAUCAAAAUGUUCAUUAAGCGUCAUGACCUGAAGGUUAGUGCUUAUUUUGUGUGCUACCAUACGUGUUUUCGUUUACAAUAUUUGUGCUUCUCUGAAAAGUAAUGUCUAAUUGCAAUGUUCAUCUCAGAUUUUUUAUGAUGAGGAUGAUGCCGGUGACAUUGAUGUUACUUUCACACAAACUAAUACGACGCAUUUGGAGGUAUAUCCGAGUUUAAUUUAUAUUAUUAAUUGUGCAGUUUUACUCUAUAUCAAGCAAUCGCAUAAUAACUUCUUUCUUUGCUUCAGAAUGUACAGGUACAAUUGCUUGAGGCUGGUGACUCAACCAAGACUGAUGUCAACAAAAAUGAAGAGCAGAAUACACCAUGUAGCAAGGGGUCUGGAAAGAGGUCUGCUGAUUUGGAUGAUUGUGAUAUUGUCGACUACAAAGAUGAUGGUGAAAUGUCUAUUAACAAACCUGUGAAGCUGAAAUGUGUGAAGAUCGAAAAGGAUGCUUGAUGCGAAUGAAUGGAGGGAAAUAUCAUGUUUUUAGUUUAAAUUGAAUCCAGCUUUUGUCCUUUGUCUGGAUCAGUUUGUUUUUUAAGUAUAAGUCUCAGCAAGACUGUUUUAUGUUUUUUUUUUCUUUUUCUGCCUAUCGAACAAGUUUGCUUGCUUAUUAUAACUUAAUUUAUUUCCCUUUUUAUGUUUACAAAUCAUCCAAUAGUGAGCACGUUAGUUUUCCAAUAUAUGCGAUUCAGUGUUUAACAGUUAACUAAAAUUAAUAUUUCUUAAUCAUUCAAUAUGCAGUUAGUUUUCCAUCAUAUGAACAACAAUUACUGCAAGUCACUCGCAAGCAAAAGAAUGAUAGUGAGAGGAGAAGCACUGAUUAUAAAGAAUGAUAGUGCUGAUUUUCAAUAGUGAGCUCUGCCAUCUAAUUCUAACCCUCAUCAUAUGAUUGUUGAAGCCUUUGAUCAAGUGAGGACAUGGAGCCUACAUGGUCACCUAACCUUCCUUCUAUAAUUCAUUCAAUCAGCUGCUGUUUGCUCUGAUAUAACCCCCUGGCUGACAGAUCACAUAGAGCUCCCCAAAAUGCUCCCAAAUACCGCUGCUACAAUCCACUGAAAAAAAAUGGUAAUUUUAAAGGAAUAAAUUAUUGAAGUGGUUAAAAAGAGAAAAGACUAAUGAGUGAGGGGACAUGUUAAUGAGAGACCAUGUAUGAAACCAACCAAAGCAAAGAAAUGUUAACAUGCAAUGGCUGAAAAGAAAAAGGAAAGGGGUACAGGGAUUACAAAAUUUAACAAACUAAGGAUAUAAUAUCAAAAAAUUGAGGUGUGAGAAUAGCAUUAAGAUAGCAGCAGAAACUUUAAGUUACUAAUUCUUUGUUAACAA
rnacentral:lncRNA from 1 species